rnacentral:rRNA from 1 species
GACGAACGCUGGCGGCGUGCUUAACACAUGCAAGUCGAACGGAAAGGCCCUGCUUUUGUGGGGUGCUCGAGUGGCGAACGGGUGAGUAACACGUGAGUAACCUGCCCUUGUCUUUGGGAUAACUUCAGGAAACUGGGGCUAAUACCGGAUAGGAGCUCCUGCUGCAUGGUGGGGGUUGGAAAGUUUCGGCGGUUGGGGAUGGACUCGCGGCUUAUCAGCUUGUUGGUGGGGUAGUUGCUUACCACGGCUUUGACGGGUAGCCGGCCUGAGAGGGUGACCGGCCACAUUGGGACUGAGGUAGGGCCCAGACUCCUACGGGAGGCAGCAGGGGGGAAUAUUGCACAAUGGGCGGAAGCCUGAUGCAGCAACGCCGCGUGCGGGAUGACGGCCUUCGGGUUGUAAACCGCUUUCGCCUGUGACGAAGCGUGAGUGACGGUAAUGGGUAAAGAAGCACCGGCUAACUACGUG